rnacentral:rRNA from 1 species
UACGUAGGGGGCAAGCGUUGUCCGGAAUCAUUGGGCGUAAAGCGCGUGUAGGCGGCCAGAAAAGUCCGCUGUGAAAACUCGAGGCUCAACUUCGAGCUGUCGGUGGAAACUUUCUGGCUAGAGUCCGGAAGAGGAGAAUGGAAUUCCUGGUGUAGCGGUGAAAUGACGCAGAUAUCAGGAAGAACACCCGUGGCGAAGGCGGUUCUCUUGGACGGUACUGACGCUGAGACGCGAAAGCGUGGGGAGCGAACAGG